rnacentral:lncRNA from 1 species
ACCAUAUGAAAUAUGAGACAGACAACAGAGAGGUGAGCUGGACAUGGCCAGUGAGCAGCCAGCAUGUGGAAACCACAGCCCAGCAGGUGUGGAGUGACUGCUAUCACUGACUUUGGAAGAACUCCUGUUCUAAACUCAGUAUGCAGAAGCAAACCCCAACAGCACACAGAGGCAACAUUCCUGUGUGACACCCCCAUCAUCAAGCCCAGAUGCUCUGGUGGAGCGCAGAUGUCCCACAGAGGUCCAAUCUAAUGCACUGAAGUGACAGAGAAUCUGCUGCAUCCUCAGCAGUGUUAACCAGCAGGUACACGAGCUGCCUGGCAGAGGAGCAGACAGAACUCUCCUGGGACUGACCGCAGUGUCACUUUCCUUGAUGGGUCAUUGAGGUUUGGGUUCUGCCCUCUUCACGCAUCUCCUCUGGCUGCAGGUCAGAGUGUGACUCUACAGGACAGACUAUUUUGGAACAUUUGUAACAGUGAGCACACUGCGCUGCUAGGCACGCAAAGCACGGCCUGACUCUGGUUUGGACCUGACCCUAAAAUCCCCCAGAAUCUAAGUAAACGCUGCACCACGCGUCCCCUUCUGUGUGGCUCUUUUUGAAGGACUCGGAAUGCACACGGGGGACAGCAGCUUUGGCUGCAGCUUCCCCCCAGCUCAAGACUACGGGUGCUCUUUUCAUGCAUGUCUUGCAGACUCAUUUCUUCCCCCAUCUGUUGAUUUUUUUUCUUCAUUAUGUGUUAGCAAUCAAUGACUAUCCCAUGGCACGUUCCUUUGCAGGGCUCUGAACACAGCAUUUCUUGCCAAGGGAGCAUUCCACACGAGUGGCUUCUGCUCACGCUGUCUGUUGCUGCAAGUGGGACUUUCAUGCCAGCCUAACCCUAAUGCGAUGACUAUCACAUUAGCAGCUUUACAUAUUCAUUGAUUUGCAGAAGUGUUUUGUAUUGCCUUAAGCUCCAAAACCUUUGUGACAACGCAUUACAAACAACAGACAAAGGAAAGAUCUUAAGAGGGGCUACAAAUUUCUUGUUCUGCUAUCUUAUCUGGCAGAAUAGUACCUCUCCAAGUUUAUCUUGUCUAGUCUACAACAAAGCCUUGUUUUUUAUGAAAUGUCACACUGCUGAAGGAUCUAAUUUUUCUUUGAUACAAUAGCCGACGUACAAUAACUGAAUCUCAAAAAGCACAACGUGAGUAAACACUCUGUAAUGUAUCUAAACACAGCAGCUAUCCAGUUAUCCUAGCACUUUAUUUCAAUUUAGACCAAGGGACAAUUUUAAAAGAUUUGCUCCCAAGUACGCAAUUCAGAAAAAUACGACUUACUACUCAGAGCAGUACUUUGAAUCCACGCUGUUAGUCGUCUUAGCUGAAAUUCAUCCUUGAUGAUAUCCAAAGGUCCAAUAACAUUUUUCAUGGAAGAAUCCCUUAUUUGUAGAACAUAAUAAAACCGUUCAGCUGCAACUCUGGGCCGCUGAGAACUGCAGAAUGAGGUCUUCCUUAUGUCACGGGAUGUUUUUCAGACACGUUGUUACCUGAGAAAUAUCAAAAUGCACUGGUUAAAUAUAAUAGUAUCUUUGAUGUGUGUUAGUAAGACAAAAUGUAAGGCUGUUUAUCGCUAACGAGUUGGGUGCUCAUUAGUGUGCUCCAUCAGGAAACACUGACAGCAAAAGGCAAAAGGAGAAGUUCAGUGUUAAAUCCACACACGGCACAUUCCAGCUAUUAUAGCCUGUGCUAUAAGAGGAGAGAACUGUUGCAUGCAACUACUUUAAAAGUAUGUAUCAGGGCAAGAAAGAGAAGCAUUUGUUUGAUUCAUUAUAUACUUUUUUUCAAUAAAACUCACUUCCAAAUAAUGCUUUUCUUUCACAUUGUGCUUUUCAUUCCUAUCUCACAAAGCACUCCAGAAGAGGUCAGGAUCGUUUUACAAAACACAAACAUGAAGUGAGGGACCUCUCUGAUGUCAGUGAGUAACACAGCACAGUCCCCAGCUCUGCUGACUGCUAGUCAUAGGAACGAGGGAUUACCAAGGGCAUCUUGUGUCAUCAAAUCCAGCUUCUUACUCUUCAAAUCAAUUUUGCUAUAAUAAUCUCAUGCAAGACACUUUCUUUGGAGUGCCUGAUCUCUUAUAUAAGCUCCUAAAAUGCUCUUUCAAAAUCAUCAUCUCUUGUAUAUCCUCACCCAUCCUGACCCUGUUGCGGGACUCUCUAGGUAAUGCCAAGGCAUUACACGUCAAUGAUGAGGGAUCACUACUCUGACUUCAGCUAUCACUGACACUGGAGUACG